rnacentral:rRNA from 1 species
UACAGAGGGUGCUAGCGUUGUUCGGAAUUAUUGGGCGUAAAGCGCGUGUAGGCGGCUCCGCAAGUUGGGUGUGAAAGCCCUCGGCUUAACCGAGGAAGUGCGCCCAAAACUACGGAGCUUGAGUGCCGGAGAGGGUGGCGGAAUUCCCGGUGUAGAGGUGAAAUUCGUAGAUAUCGGGAGGAACACCAGUGGCGAAGGCGGCCACCUGGACGGUCACUGACGCUGAGACGCGAAAGCGUGGGGAGCAAACAGGAUUAGAAACCCCCGUAGUCC